UUUAUGGAGAGUUUGAUCCUGGCUCAGGAUGAACGCUGGCGGCGUGCCUAAUACAUGCAAGUCGAGCGAACGGACGAGAAGCUUGCUUCUCUGAUGUUAGCGGCGGACGGGUGAGUAACACGUGGAUAACCUACCUAUAAGACUGGGAUAACUUCGGGAAACCGGAGCUAAUACCGGAUAAUAUUUUGAACCGCAUGGUUCAAAAGUGAAAGACGGUCUUGCUGUCACUUAUAGAUGGAUCCGCGCUGCAUUAGCUAGUUGGUAAGGUAACGGCUUACCAAGGCAACGAUGCAUAGCCGACCUGAGAGGGUGAUCGGCCACACUGGAACUGAGACACGGUCCAGACUCCUACGGGAGGCAGCAGUAGGGAAUCUUCCGCAAUGGGCGAAAGCCUGACGGAGCAACGCCGCGUGAGUGAUGAAGGUCUUCGGAUCGUAAAACUCUGUUAUUAGGGAAGAACAUAUGUGUAAGUAACUGUGCACAUCUUGACGGUACCUAAUCAGAAAGCCACGGCUAACUACGUGCCAGCAGCCGCGGUAAUACGUAGGUGGCAAGCGUUAUCCGGAAUUAUUGGGCGUAAAGCGCGCGUAGGCGGUUUUUUAAGUCUGAUGUGAAAGCCCACGGCUCAACCGUGGAGGGUCAUUGGAAACUGGAAAACUUGAGUGCGGAAGAGGAAAGUGGAAUUCCAUGUGUAGCGGUGAAAUGCGCAGAGAUAUGGAGGAACACCAGUGGCGAAGGCGACUUUCUGGUCUGUAACUGACGCUGAUGUGCGAAAGCGUGGGGAUCAAACAGGAUUAGAUACCCUGGUAGUCCACGCCGUAAACGAUGAGUGCUAAGUGUUAGGGGGUUUCCGCCCCUUAGUGCUGCAGCUAACGCAUUAAGCACUCCGCCUGGGGAGUACGACCGCAAGGUUGAAACUCAAAGGAAUUGACGGGGACCCGCACAAGCGGUGGAGCAUGUGGUUUAAUUCGAAGCAACGCGAAGAACCUUACCAAAUCUUGACAUCCUUUGACAACUCUAGAGAUAGAGCUUUCCCCUUCGGGGGAGGGGGACAAAGUGACAGGUGGUGCAUGGUUGUCGUCAGCUCGUGUCGUGAGAUGUUGGGUUAAGUCCCGCAACGAGCGCAACCCUUAAGCUUAGUUGCCAUCAUUAAGUUGGGCACUCUAAGUUGACUGCCGGUGACAAACCGGAGGAAGGUGGGGAUGACGUCAAAUCAUCAUGCCCCUUAUGAUUUGGGCUACACACGUGCUACAAUGGACAAUACAAAGGGCAGCGAAACCGUGAGGUCAAGCAAAUCCCAUAAAGUUGUUCUCAGUUCGGAUUGUAGUCUGCAACUCGACUACAUGAAGCUGGAAUCGCUAGUAAUCGUAGAUCAGCAUGCUACGGUGAAUACGUUCCCGGGUCUUGUACACACCGCCCGUCACACCACGAGAGUUUGUAACACCCGAAGCCGGUGGAGUAACCUUUUAGGAGCUAGCCGUCGAAGGUGGGACAAAUGAUUGGGGUGAAGUCGUAACAAGGUAGCCGUAUCGGAAGGUGCGGCUGGAUCACCUCCUUUCU
rnacentral:rRNA from 1 species